rfam:Guillardia theta CCMP2712 unplaced genomic scaffold GTITHscaffold_176, whole genome shotgun sequence.
GCCCUCGUAGCAAAGUGGUUAAUGCGUUCGCCUUGUAAGCGAAAGGUCGCCAGUUCGACUCUGGUCGUGGGCA